UCUCUCCUCUGUGUGUGUGUGUGUGUGCGUGCAGCUGUGCGUCCGGUGUCUCUCUCUCUGACCCCGAGAGCAUCAGUAUCGUCUCUGAGGAAGAGCUCCAGCUCCACACUGCCCUCCUCAGCCUCCUCCAGGAACUACAGCCCGUCCUCAACAGCAGCAAAGAGAACUGCUGCUGGAUCCUCCAGAGAGCCCCCGAACAGUAAAGCUAAGAGCAGCAGCAGCAGGAAACCGCUGGAGAGCAAACCAAAAGAUGGAGGUGCAGCUGCUGCAGGAGUCAGGCGUGUCGCUCACUGCAGAGUGACUCUGCAGAUUUUCCUGAGGCCUCAGUGCAGAAGAAGGACUGGAUCAACUGAGGUCUCCCCCUGUCCGGUCCUCAAGAGCCCCCUCAGAUCCCCCAGUCAGUACUUCCAGAUCUGCUACUGACUGAUGACAAGUGUUCUGGAGGAUGAAGAGCGCCUGACUCUGGAGCAGGACUACAUCAGAACAGAUUCAUUGUGUGUGUGUGUGUGUGUGUGUGUGUGUGUGUGUGUGUGUGUGUGCACGUGUGCAUGCGUGUGUGUAUGCGUGCGCGUGUGUGUGCACGUGUGCAUGCGUGUGUGUGUGUGUGCCUGUGUGUGUGUGUUUGUUUCUGCUGUGUUGUAGUUUAGAAGCUCCAGCAUCAGGUGACUAUUACCUGGGUCUAUCAUAAGAGAUGAUGAUGAUGAUGAUGAUGAUGAUGAUGAUGAUGAUGAUGAUGAUGAUGAUGCUGAGAGAGUGUUUUCUUCAUGGACAGCUCCACGCUAAGAGGAGCUUUAGAGAUAUUAGUGAUUUCUGCAUGUAAAGCUGUUUAGUGGCUAUAAACUGUAUUUGUAUCUAAGUCUGGCGGCUGUUUUGGAUGACAUGACAGGAUUCAGACGUCCUCAUUAAAGUACUGAAUAGUGGAUUAGUAUGGGUCACACAAUAAUCAUAGCGUAGUACCGUUUUGAAUGUGUUUGUGUGUAUUCAUACAUUAGACUGUGUUUUGAUUAUUUAUCUUUCUCUAAGGAGCAUAAUUAAGAUCCUCUAUUUUUCACCAUGAUUUCUAGAAUAAACAAUCUAAAAUGUCA